rnacentral:rRNA from 1 species
GGGUGUGAUCAUAGCAGCGUUAAUGCACCGGAUUCCAUCAGAACUCUACAGUUAAGCGCGCUUGCGCUAGAGUAGUACUGGGAUGGGUGACCUCUCGGGAAGUCCUAGUGUUGCACCCU